UACAUGUGGGGCAAGCGUUGUUCGGAAUUACUGGGCAUAAAGGGUGCGUAGGUGGUUUGUUAAGUCAAGGGUGAAAUCCCGCGGCCCAACCGUGGAACUGCCUUUGAUACUGGCGAACUUGAGUGCGUGAGGGGUAGGGGGAACGAGCAGUGUAGCGGUGAAAUGCGUAGAUAUUGCUCGGAAGGCCAGAGCCGAAGGGGCCCUACUGGUGCGCAACUGACACUGAGGCACGAAAGCGUGGGGAGCAAACAGG
rnacentral:rRNA from 1 species